CAAGCUCAGAUCUAGGGGUCUG
rnacentral:miRNA from 10 species